rnacentral:lncRNA from 1 species
UAUGGGUAUCCACUCAAGAUCAGCCUGGAAUAGCCCUUUUUGGUGUUGAUCUUUCUUCUCCAAGAACAAUCACCCUGCGAAUCUGAACGAAGCCUGGAUCACGAUCAACUCUUUGAUCCUUUCUUUGAUUUUUUUUAUUUUCUUUUCUUACUCUCUUUUUUCUUAUUAUGAAGCAACUAAGGUCUGGUAACCAACGAGCAAGGAGGAUGCCCA